rnacentral:rRNA from 1 species
UACGGAAGGCAGCAGUGGGGAAUAUUGCACAAUGGGCGCAAGCCUGAUGCAGCCAUGCCGCGUGUAUGAAGAAGGCCUUCGGGUUGUAAAGUACUUUCAGUCGUGAGGAAGGUGUUAAGGUUAAUAACCUUAGCAAUUGACGUUAGCGACAGAAGAGGCACCGGCUAACUCCGUGCCAGCAGCCGCGGUAAUACGGAGGGUGCGAGCGUUAAUCGGAAUUACUGGGCGUAAAGGGCACGCAGGCGGUUAAUUAAGUUGGAUGUGAAAUCCCCGGGCUUAACCUGGGAAUGGCAUUCAAGACUGGUUAGCUAGAGUCUUGUAGAGGGGGUAGAAUUCCAUGUGUAGCGGUGAAAUGCGUAGAGAUGUGGAGGAAUACCGGUGGCGAAGGCGGCCCCUGGACAAGACUGACGCUCAUGUGCGAAAGCGUGGGGAGCAAACAGGGAUUAGAUACC